rnacentral:rRNA from 1 species
AUUUUUGAAUGAUUAGUGUGCUCCAAAUUCACUUGAUUGUGAUUAUGUCCAUAGAGGGUGUUAGACCCGUUGGAGUAUUGGACGCUUUCAAUGAUGUUUUCUAUGAGUUGGGUUGUUUGAGAAAGCCGUCCCAAUAGGGUGGUAAAAUCCCUUUAAGGGUAAAAACUUGUGUGAGUUCGAUAGCAAACAAGUUCCCUGAGGGAAAGUUGAAAAGAACUCUGAAGAGAGAGUUAAAUAGUACGUGAAAUCGCUUAGAGGUAAACGAGUGGAGCCGAAAAUGUUCUAUGGGAUUCAGUUGUUUAUGUGGUUGUUUGCCGUUUGAUGAUAUUUUAUAGAGAAAAUUGUCGGAUGGUGAAUGAUUAUGUGAGUAAUGCACUUUCUGUAUGACAAAGCUGUGACCAAUAGKGUUGUUUUUCUGUAAUGACAAUGAAGUUGACUAACUGUUUACAGUUGGUUUUAUAGCGUGUUAUGCGGUUAAAUGUUAUGUAUUGGUGAAUUGCGAUUGGUCAUUAUUGAUGAUGUGUUAUAUAUGUUUUUUGGAUUUGUAGACUACUUGUASACUAUGUUUAGAGAAUGUGUGUGAUAUGUUGUUGAUGGAUCGGUCUAAAGUCACAGUAUUAUGUAGGUUAUCUACUCGUCCCGUCUUGAAACACGGACCAAGGAGUUUUAUAUGAUCGCGAGUCAAAGGGCUGUACGAAACCCCCCGGCGUAAUGAAAGUAAAGAGCAAUGUUUGUUGUUUGAGAUGUGACCUAUGUUCCAACAUAGUGCAACAUCGACCCGUCUAAAGGUGUUCGCAUCUGGGCGGAGUUUGAGCGAUCAUGUCAGACCCGGGCGAUGGCAACUAUGCUUGUGCAGGCGAAGUCAGAGGAAACUCUGACGGAGGACCGCAGCGGGUCCGACGCGCAAAUCGAUGGUCGGAGAA